GAUAACAUUGCAAGGCAUAUAUACUUGAAUACCCUUCAAUAUUGUGAUACUAUAAAUAGUUAAAUACUGAAGUGUAGUCUCAUCUUCACUCACAAAUAAAUAUUUCCUAAUUAAUAAUCAUAUCAUAUCAUAAGAUGAGGCCAAUUUUUUUUGCAAUAUUCUUGCUUUUGGUUUACGUAGUGUUCCCUCCCUCCUCAACAUUUGCAUAUUCAGUAGUAGAGAAGCGAGGUGAUGAGAGAAGAGUAUACAGAAGAACAUAUAGAUAUGGAAGAAGAGGAGGAGCAUUACAUCCACCUCCUCCUCCUCUUCCUGAUUUUCCUAUUGGUCCAUCAGGAAGUAAUUCAUAUGAAGAAGUAUAUCAUCCAAAAAGACCAUAUGAUCCACGUGGAAGAAAUCCUCCUCCUAAUCCUAUUGCCAAUACUCCAUAUAGAAGAUGCAUUAAUAAUCCAUACAUGCGUGGUCCUUGCUCACCACCUAAGCCUUAAUUAAUUAGUUAAUACUUGAGGUCGUCUUAGGAGAAAUAAUAAUAUAAUUCAUAUCAACAAUGCUAGGAACCAACUGAUAAAUUAGAGGUAUCGGUGACUUUAACCGGAUAUUGCUACUGAUAGGCACACGGAUGUUUCUUUUUCUUGUAAAUUAGAUGGUUUUAGAUAUGAUUUCUAUAUUUCAUGUGUUACGCAUUAAUAAAACAUAAUUAAUUAUAUAGAAUCAACUAAUUAAUGAUCAAAACAUCUGUUCCGUGAUUCUCUCCUAUCACUAACAUAUCUUCCCUCAUAUUUUGAACGUGGUCAACAAUAAUUUAAAAAAUAAAUUAAUAAAACUAAUUAUAAUUAAUUAUAUUGUUCCAUUCUUAAUUGAUUAUUAGUUGGUUCAUAUACUUUUCCAAUUCAUAUUAACUACUGUUUCGUUUUGUAUGUUUUUUUUAUUGGCUGCUACGUAGAAUAACCGACCUCAUCAUGUAUUGAUUUCAAUUUCUUUUUGUGUGUACUCUUUUGAGUUUGUAAUAGUGCUUCAGAAAUAAAAACCAUAUAUUGGGCUUCAAUUAUCAGAGGUUGGCUUUUUCUUUUUUGUUUGAUUAAUUAAUUAAUCUAAAAUAUUAGCUCAAGGUCAUUAAGAUUUAUUCCAAAAUUUCAUUUUUAUAUAUUGGUGAACCUAAGAGCACUAUUUUCUGCUGCUACUUAGAUUUCCUUUUCUCUUUGGAGCAUAUAUAAAAUAACUAGAGUAGUAGAAAAAUAAUUUUUCUAUAUAUGACCCAUCAUAAAUCACUAAAAUUAGAAGAUAGUUUACUCAAUUUUGUUAGAAAAUUAAAUCAAGUAACAAAAGUUUAGAAAAGUCAAAGGCAAAAUUCAAUUUGAAUUCAAAGUGGUUACAAGUUCAUGGUUCAUCACCAAGAUUCUACAAACUUCUUGUGCAAUCUAUCAACUUGCAUAGAUUAGAAUUUUCAUGAAGCAUGGUUAAAGAAUUGAAGAAGCAAAGUUUGAGUUGAAUACAAUAAUCAUCAAUUGGCUAGAUAUUGCUAGAAGCUAAUGUUGGAAGCUUGAAGAUUUUUGAAGAACAUUCAAGAGAGUAGUAUAACUACAACAUUCUACAACAUUAAAGAAUUCAAAAUCAAAUUGAAUUGAAAUUAGAAGAUUAUAGAAGCUACAAUGCAAGUUGAAAGAAGAUUCAUGAAACCAAGUCAUAAAAUGGUAGUCAUUACAAAAUUAAUUUGUGAUUCAUAAAUUAUUAUUUUAGUAGGAAGCAUUGCCUAUAUAAAGACACAUAUGCCUUGUGUAUUGUAUGUGUGUUCAUAAUGAAAUGGGUAUGUUUGUAAAAAUUCUCUCCCUUGUUUUAUGAGUGUUAGUGAGUUUGAGAGAUGAAAAAUAUGAUAGCGUCGUUUAUAUGAGUGAUCCUAGAGCCAAUAUAGUGUGGGUAUUAUACUUACAAAUUUUGUUAUUUUGUUUUACAAAAGAAAAAGAAAAAAUCAAUUACAUGCUGACCAUAUCAAAAUAAAUAACUAAUAAAUAUAGUUUCUUGGUUUGAAUGUUUGAGUGUUACAACUAUUUAUGUUUAUGUGUGAAUAACCCUUUCUUGGACUACUACCUAUGUGUAAACAAAAAUCUUUUCGCCCGGUACUUGAGCUUUAAUUUGUGAGUGAUUUGUAUGAAGUUUCGUUGUGUCAUAUGGAAAUAUAUAUUACCAAUGAGUAUACUUCCAUAACGUAAAACGUCUUUUUGUAAAAAUAUAUAUGUGUCGUAUAUUAUUAGACGUAUUAAUGAAUAAGUUAUUUUUGAACUUUUUAACAAAUUAGAAUAAAAUCAAUUUUUUUAUAACAAUAAUAAUAAAUUCAAUUUUUUUAAGAAUUUAAUUAUAUUUUUAAAUUUUUAGAAAUUUAAAUGUUCGUAAAAUAAAAAGUCAGGGAUAUAUUUAUUUUUUUUUAUCAAAAAAUUAAAGAUAUUUGAUUUAGAUUGUAUAAUUCGAUCAGAUCAAAUCGGGUCUAAUAAUUAUAAUGCAAAAAAUUAAGUUUAUUGUUGUUGCUAUAAUAAACUGAUUUUAUUCUAAUUUAUUAAAAUAUAAAUUAACCAAUUUAACAAAAAUGUCCAAUAAUAACAUGACAUAUAUGAACAUUUAAAAAAAAAAACAUUUUUAAUAUUUUUAUUAAAGUGGUCUCUAUUACAAAUAUAACUAAUUUUUCUUAUGCCAUUAUAUGAGAAGCUAGUUAGUUGUGGAUCGAAAAGGUGCAUACGGUUCGAUUUGGCUCGAAGAUUUGUUCCAAACUUAAAAGUAUUUUUAUAUAUUUUGGUCUGAUCUUGAAGUAGUUCGCAACUAAUUUGCGAAAAAAAAAAUCACCCAAAAAACAAUUCAACCAAAAUCGAACAAAAUCAAAAUAUAUAAAACAAAAAAUUAAUACAAAUAAAACAAAUUAAAAAAAUAUCUUUAAGAAUAUGUUAGAUCAACUAUGCUAUUAAUUAAAGAAAUCUGAUUUUAAUAAUAGAUAAUAUAUAAAUCUUGAUGAAUAUUUGAUAAUAAUUUUUUAUUCUCUCUAUCACUCCCUUCUAGCUAACUAACGAUUCUACAUCAAUAAAUAUCUAAAAUAUCAUAUUAAUUAACCUAUCAUAAUACACUGAGCAUAUAUCAAAUCUUUCCAUUAAUUUAUGUUUUCUCUAUAAGUCCUCUUAUUAAUUGGAAUAUUAAUUAAAAUUACUAUUUAAAAAAAAUUCUAUAAUUCUAGAGGCAUAAUUGAAAUCCCUUCCCCCCACUUCAUAGUUCAUACACGGUUAUGGACAAUAUAAAUACACAGCAACUUGAGAUAUAAUGAUCGAUAUAUAACCACGCAAAAAGAAAGAAAAUAUAAAUGACAAGGUAUAUCCUCUAUAAUCAAGCAUGAAGGCCAUUUUUAUUGCAUUCUUACUUUUGGCUUCCAUGGCCUUCUUGCUCUCUUCAGCUACUCUAGCAAUUCGAGAGAUUCAACCAAUCAAAGGUGAUGAAAAAGGAUACAUAAGAGCAAGUGAUUCAUAUAGAUUUAGAAGAAGAAGAGGAGGAGGACCACGACGACCUCCACCUCCACCUCCACCUCCUCCUAGUGCUGUUGGAAGUGAUUUAUAUAGAAGAAGAAGAGGAGGAGGAGUUCCACCUCCACCUCCACCUCCACCUCCACGUUCUAGUGCUGUUAAUAAUUAAAUUAAUCAAAGAUUACUUCUUCUUCUACUUUAUUAAAGCAUAUAUAUGAGCUUUCAUUUUCAGGGAAAUAAAGCUGCUGUUUUUUUAUGUUUAA